AGGACUGAAGGAAUUGUCUUUUCCUUGGACAGAAGGAAAAUAAGAAAUUCAAGGCAAAGUUAUGACUGCUAACAUUUCAAAACCACGCAUUGAGAGUGCAAUGCUAGGCUUCUUUGAACACGACAUUCCAAAUUCAGCAUCGUCCAAUUCAUCCCAGCUGUCCACAGCCUUUGUCAAAGUCUGACCCCAUCGUCUCCUGCAACUUUUAGCACCCACUGUGCCAUUCUGAGCUGCUUGUUUCUAUUUCAAAUACGAACAGAAGAAGAAAAAAUACAACUCUAAUUAAAUUCUAAAACUUUAUAUUUUACAUAUAGUUGAUUACUACUGCUUAAGAACAUGGGAGGAUUUUUUU